GCUCACUCUCUAUCCGUCACC
rnacentral:miRNA from 2 species